rnacentral:rRNA from 1 species
CACGCCGUAAACGAAUGCGCGUUAGGUGUAUCGACGACCACGAGUCGUCGAGGUGCCGAAGGGAAACCGUGAAACGUGCCGCCUGGGAAGUACGGUCGCAAGGCUGAAACUUAAAGGAAUUGGCGGGGGAGCACCACAACAGGUGGAGCCUGCGGUUUAAUUGGACUCAACGCCGGAAAUCUCACCGGAUAAGACAGCAGAAUGAUUGCCCGGGCUGAAGACUCUGCAUGACUAGCUGAGAGGUGGUGCAUGGCGUCAGUGACUGU